rnacentral:rRNA from 3 species
UGGUGGCGAUAGCGAAGAGGUCACACCCGUUCCCAUUCCGAACACGGCAGUUAAGCUCUUCAGCGCCAAUGGUAGUUGGGGGUUUCCCCCUGUGAGAGUAGGACGCCGCCA